GGUGCCAUUUUCUAUUGCAGAUGCCAAGGCAGUUUCAGAAUUCAAUGAGAAGCCAGGCAGAAAGGCCAGCAUUACCCAGUGUCCAAUGAGAAGCUUGUGAUGGCCCCACGAAGGGGAGAAAUGGACUUCCAGCUAUCAGGAACCGUGAAUUACCUUCUUUGCCACAUCAGAUGCUCUAAGCUUAAGCCCACUUUCCCUGACUUGGUAAGGUAAGAAAGAGAGAUGCAGGGGGUUGCAAUGAGAAGCCAAACUGAAGGAGAUCAGCUGAAGAGCAGCGGAGGAGGGGCAGAGAGACAGAAGCUCCAACUGUCAACAGUCUUUCAGCCUGGGAGGUGGAGGAGAAAAGGAGGUUUUCCUGGAAGCUGAGAAAGAGCCCACCCUUUUGGGACCUGUUAUUCCUCCUGGGACCCCAAAACACCUCCACUAAGACUCUUCAAGAACAGCUACUGGAAUUCUCAAGGGGGUUUUGUAUUGGGACUCACACUGGCCAGAGCCAUCCAGAUCUCUCCCUAAGAUUUCUCUCUCUCCCUCACCUGUUCCUAGACUCCUGAAUUAAAAGCUAGUUAGCUGAGGAAUAGAGAUCAACCAGCAGCUGGCCAGAGGAGGGUUUGGGCACCCAGUCCUGAACCCUGAGAACUUGGGGGGGGCAGUCUGCCAGAGGGGUUCAGUGUUAGGGUUUCCUACUCCCCACUUUCCUUGCCUGACACUCCUACCUUGUGUGAACCCAAAUAAAUCGCUUACUACUUUAGAAUUA